rnacentral:rRNA from 1 species
AUUGAACGCUGGCGGCAUGCUUUACACAUGCAAGUCGAACGGUAACAGGCCUUCGGGUGCUGACGAGUGGCGAACGGGCGAGUAAUGCAUCGGAACGUGCCCAGAGGUGGGGGAUAACGCAGCGAAAGCUGUGCUAAUACCGCAUGUGAUCUGAGGAUGAAAGCGGGGGACCAGGCAGCAAUGUUUGGCCUCGCGCCUUUGGGGCGGCCGAUGUCAGAUUAGGUAGUUGGGGGGGUAAAGGCCUACCAAGCCGACGAUCUGUAGCUGGUCUGAGAGGACGACCCGCCACACUGGGACUGGGACUCGGCUCAGACUCCUGCGGGAGGCAGCAGUGGGGAAUUUUGGCCAAUUGGCGCAAGCCUGAUCCAACAGUGCUGCGUGCGGGAAGAAGGCCUUCGGGUUGUAAACCGCUUUUGUACGGAACGAAAAGGCUCUGGCUAAUUCCUGGGGCUGAUGACGGUACCGUAAGAAUAAGCACCGGCUAACUACGUG